rnacentral:rRNA from 1 species
GACGAACGCUGGCGGCGUGCCUAAUACAUGCAAGUCGAGCGAGUCUGCCUUGAAGAUCGGAGUGCUUGCACUCUGUGAAACAAGAUACAGGCUAGCGGCGGACGGGUGAGUAACACGUGGGUAACCUGCCCAAGAGAUCGGGAUAACACCUGGAAACAGAUGCUAAUACCGGAUAACGACAGAUGAUGCCUAUCAACUGUUUAAAAGAUGGUCCUGCUAUCACUCUUGGAUGGACCUGCGGUGCAUUAGCUAGUUGGUAGGGUAACGGCCUACCAAGGCGAUGAUGCAUAGCCGAGUUGAGAGACUGAUCGGCCACAUUGGGACUGAGACACGGCCCAAACUCCUACGGGAGGCAGCAGUAGGGAAUCUUCCACAAUGGACGCAAGUCUGAUGGAGCAACGCCGCGUGAGUGAAGAAGGGUUUCGGCUCGUAAAGCUCUGUUGUUGGUGAAGAAGGACAGGGGUAGUAACUGACCUUUGUUUGACGGUAAUCAAUUAGAAAGUCACGGCUAACUAAGUG